ACCCAGGAAACAAUGAUGUAGUGACUUCCAAGCACAUAGCUGAUGAUUCCAUGUAGAAUUUAACUGCUGAGUUUCCUGGCU
ensembl:snoRNA Gm24837 small nucleolar RNA SNORD121A